rnacentral:lncRNA from 1 species
AAGCUAUUUAUGUGAUGGCGUAACUUCAUCUCAAUAUCCACCAGUUUCAACUACUACUUCAACGAAUAUAUAAAUAGGCUGCAAAUCAACCUUGAACCAUCAGCAAGCCAACAAGCCAAAAUUAUACUGAAACAUCAACACUCAAGAAAAACACUCUCUAAGAUCUUCACAAAGCUUUUGCUUAUAACGUGAAAAACUCUUGUUCUUAAUACUGUAAUAUUUGCUUUCUUA